CCUGAUAGAGGAUAAAUACUGGAAGGUUUUAUUCUUCAAAGCUUCGGCACCUGAGGAUGGGACUGCGUCGGAUUAGCUUGUUGUCGGGAUAAUUACCCGACAAGGCGAUAAUCCGUACGGGUUGUGAGAGCAAUAGCCCGGAGAUGGAUUCUGAGACAUGAAUCCAGGUCCUACGGGACGCAGCAGGCGCGAAACCUUCACAAUGCCUGAAAGGGUGAUGAGGGAACUCUGAGUGACUUCGCAAUGCGAAGUCUUUUGCCAAGUGCAAAAAGCUCGGUGAAUAAGUGGUGGGCAAGACAGUUGCCAGCCGCCGCGGUAAUAACUGCGCCACGAGUGGUGAUCUCGUUUAUUGGGCUUAAAGCGUUCGUAGCCGGUUUUAUAAGCAUCUGGUGAAAUCCGAUAGUAAACUAUUGGGCUGGCUAGGUGUACUGUAAGACUAGGGACCGGUAGGGGCCGGGAGUACUCCUAGGGUAGGGGUUAAAUCCUUUAAUCCUAGGGGGACUACCAGUGGCGAAGGCGCCCGGCUAGAACGGGUCCGACGGUGAGGGACGAAAGCUGGGGGAGCGAUCCGGAUUAGAUACCCGGGUAGUCCCAGCUGUAAACGAUGCCCGCUUGGUGUGGUGAAACUUUCGUGGUUUUGCCGUACCGUAGGGAAAGUGUUAAACGGGCCGCCUGGGAAG
rnacentral:rRNA from 1 species